AUUGAACGCUGGCGGCAGGCCUAACACAUGCAAGUCGAGCGGAUGAAGGGAGCUUGCUCCUGGAUUCAGCGGCGGACGGGUGAGUAAUGCCUAGGAAUCUGCCUGGUAGUGGGGGAUAACGUCCGGAAACGGGCGCUAAUACCGCAUACGUCCUGAGGGAGCAAGUGGGUGAUCUUCGGACCUCACGCUAUCAUAUGAGCCUAGGUCGGAUUAGCUAGUUGGUGGGGUAACGGCAUACCAAGGCGACGAUCCGUAACUGGUCUGAGAGGAUGAUCAGUCACACUGGAACUGAGACACGGUCCAGACUCCUACGGGAGGCAGCAGUGGGGAAUAUUGGACAAUGGGCGAAAGGCUGAUCCAGCCAUGCCGCGUGUGUGAAGAAGGUCUUCGGAUUGUAAAGCACUUUAAGUUGGGAGGAAGGGCAGUAAGUUAAUACCUUGCUGUUUUGACGGUACCAACAGAAUAAGCACCGGCUAACUUCGUG
rnacentral:rRNA from 1 species